UACGGAGGGGGGCUAGCGUUGUUCGGAAUUACUGGGCGUAAAGCGCACGUAGGCGGCUUUGUAAGUUUAGAGGUGAAAGCCCAGGGCUCAACCCUGGAAUUGCCUUUAAGACUGCAUCGCUAGAAUUUGUGGAGAGGUAAGUGGAAUUCCGAGUGUAGAGGUGAAAUUCGUAGAUAUUCGGAAGAACACCAGUGGCGAAGGCGACUUACUGGACACAUAUUGACGCUGAGGUGCGAAAGCGUGGGGAGCAAACAGG
rnacentral:rRNA from 1 species